AUCGUAGGUGGUUUGUUAAGUUGGAUGUGAAAUCCCGGGGCUCAACCUCGGAACUGCAUCCAAAACUGACGGACUUGAGUUCGGGAGGGGUAAGCGGAAUUCCGUGUGUAGCAGUGAAAUGCGUAGAUAUACGGAGGAACACCUGAGGCGAAGGCGGCUUACUGGACCGAUACUGACACUGAGGAUCGAAAGCGUGGGUAGCAAACA
rnacentral:rRNA from 1 species